GGGAAAGCAAAAGGAAAGCUAGAGUUUUUGCCCUAAUUUCUUGCAGAAUAGACAACAACCAAGAGAUUUACUUCUGUCGGUAUCUCCUGCAGAAUAGACAACAAUCAACAGAGAGUUCAUUGGAGAAAUCUACAGCUGAAGAUGUUGAUUUAUGGAUUCUAAUGUAAAAUGGGGUUAAAAUGUUGAUUUAUAGAUUCUAAUGCAAACUAGAGUUUGAAUAUUGUCCCCUUAUAUCUAUUAUGUUAAAUUUUGUGUCUCUAGAACAACUUGUUAUUUUAUUAUCCAUAUCUUUAAUAUCUUUAAAUUAUGUUAAAUAUUUAUUUAUUUGAAGAUAAAUGCACCUUGAUGCUAAUUAAUUAUGCUAGUAUAUAUGUUAAUGUGAUAUUUUCUUAUUAA